GGAGGAAUGGCUACAUCUCAGUGGCAGAGCAUUUGUUUUACAUGCAGAAGACCCUGGGUUCAAUCCCUGGCAUCUCCA